rnacentral:rRNA from 1 species
AUUGAACGCUGGCGGCAGGCCUAACACAUGCAAGUCGAACGAGCGGCGGACGGGUGAGUAAUGUCUGGGAAACUGCCUGAUGGAGGGGGAUAACUACUGGAAACGGUAGCUAAUACCGCAUACCAUCAGAUGUGCCCAGAUGGGAUUCGCUAGUCGGUGGGGUAACGGCUCACCAAGACGACGAUCCCUAGCUGGUCUGAGAGGAUGACAGGCCACACUGGAACUGAGACACGGGCCAGACUCCUACGAGAGGCAGCAGUGGGGAAUAUGGCACAAUGGGCGAAAGUCUGAUGCAGCCAUGCCGCGUGUGUGAAGAAGGCCUUCGGGUUGUAAAGCACUUUUAGCGGGGAGGCGUUACCCGCAGAAGAAGCACCGGCUAACUCCGUGCCAGCAGACGCGGUAAGUC